AAACUUCCCUUUUCCGGUUGCGGCGCCGCGCGGUGAGGAGCUCCAGACUCUGCGCUAGAAACCAUGCCGUCCAAGGGUCCGCUGCAGUCCGUGCAAGUCUUCGGUCGCAAGAAGACAGCCACAGUGGUGGCACACUGCAAGCGGGGCAAUGGCCUCAUCAAGGUGAACGGGCGCCCCCUGGAGAUGAUCGAGCCGCGCACGCUGCAAUAUAAGUUACUGGAGGCUGUUCUGCUUCUGGGCAAGGAGCGGUUUGCUGGUGUUGACAUCCGUGUCCGUGUAAAGGGUGGUGGUCAUGUUGCCCAGAUUUAUGCUAUCCGUCAGUCCAUCUCCAAAGCCCUGGUGGCCUAUUACCAGAAAUAUGUUGAUGAGGCUUCCAAGAAAGAGAUCAAAGAUAUUCUCAUCCAGUAUGACCGGACCCUGUUGGUAGCUGACCCUCGACGCUGCGAAUCCAAAAAGUUUGGAGGUCCUGGUGCCCGUGCUCUUUACCAGAAAUCCUACCGAUAAACUCACCAUAAGAAUCACCAUUUGCCUUUGUAAUAAACAUGGGAUUUUGAGGUUGUAAGG